AAUUUAAUAAUCAAGGAGAUUUCGAACAAACUUCAAAAUUGAAAAAUAAAGAUCGGCUCGAAGGUCCUCUACAUAAAUUGCCAUCUGGCCCGAAGGAGGAGAACACACCCAACCAUUCAGACCAGACGUAAAAAAUUAAAAUUGCUUUGGGAUGCGAUAUUGCUCCCGGACCUGAAUGACAUUGGAUUCAGACAAGGAAGAAGCUUCCAUAUCC
rnacentral:lncRNA from 1 species